rnacentral:lncRNA from 1 species
AUGUGCCUCUCGGCGUCGACUAUCGAAGCACUACGACCUUCAUUGCUUUCAGUGGGAAACUUUUGGCGUCAGAAUUCGACACGAGGACAUGAGAUGUUUAUCGCUAUGAAAUCACGUUCAAGAAGUCUCAUUCAGCACACAUCGCGCGAUACUUGCUAUAAUUUCCACAGUUUGGCUGAAAAGACGUAAAGGCAGUCAGCCCAGUGGUGUUUCUGGAGAGGGAUUCCUUCAGAAAUGGAGAAGACAGAAAGCUGCGGAGGCAGAUAUAUGCAGCAGUUAGUCUGUGAUAGUUUGUCUCUUUUAUCAAAAAUUCCUGCUGUUAUAAUUUGUACAGCAUUUGUUGUUUCUUAAACUGUUGCACUGUCCAAAUACCCACACUUGCCAUCUUUUCACUUGACCACUUGAUUACUUAUUUGAAGUCUUUCCUGUAUUUGGCCUAGUGUUCGAGUGAGCAUGAUGACCACGAGUGUGUGUCGAACUUUUCAUGACCUGAUGACUGUGUUUCCCAAUCCUGAUCCUGGAGAACCCCAGCACUGCAAGGUUUUGGCGUCUCUCUUAUCUGCCUUGGAGUCUUCACUGAUGAGCUGAUGAGUUGAAUCAGGUGUGUUUGAUCAGGGAGACAUCUCAAAUGUGCAGUGUUGGGCUUCUCCAGGACCAGGAUUGGGAGCCACUGCCUUAUGGGACACUUAUGUGUUUAAAGAGAUUUUUAAUAUCUAAUUAUCAAUAUUUCACAUACUGUACAUUGGACAGCUUUCCAUGACCUUUUGUGAGACCUCGGCAAAAAGUCUGACGAUUUAUUCCAAAACAUGAUGCAUGAUGGGAUACACUAAGCUUUGUAUAGCGCUCCGGAGCAGUAUUGGAGAGGUUUAGUGUGUGUUUAGGACGCUGUGCUUUGGCAUUAUUAAGACCGGGGACAGUCUCGUUCACACACUGUCACGUACACACACUCUCAAGUGGCCAAGACUGCAAGUGUGGGUAUCUGGACAGGGUCAAAGUCUUAAAAAUGAUCCCUAAACACAGUCGCACAUCACAGUCUUAAUAAUCCAGUUUAACACUUGUAUGAUAUUAUACAAGCCCCAGGACGGUCUCAUCUGACACUAUCAAAAGAAUUCAUAUGACUAUAGCUUGUUAUUAAUUACUUGCUUUCAAUAAUGGAUGCAUUUAACAUUUAAUUAUACAGCAUCUUUACAGAGGUGUAAUGUACAAGUUGCACGUAAUUAAUAAUAUUUCAUUCCUUCUGUCUUACAGGAUUUUUUCCAGAUAAUGCUGUUCUUCUUUUUCAGGUCUAAAAUAUCGAGCUCAACAGCUAUUUGAAGAGCCAACCCUCACAAACCUUCCUAAAAACUAAAAGAGCUAUUACUGAGUCUCAGCGAAUCUUGCCAUGAUCAGCUCUUCCCAGGUACAUUUGUUUAGAAUAUUUUUUUAAUCAACAUUUACUCAUCAAAUGCUCUGGUCUGAAUCUUACUUUAAAUUAACUUAAUUAUGUUUAAUGAGCAACAUUAAUUGCACACAGAGUAAGUAGAGAUUAUCUUGUUUCACAGAAGAGAAGGAAGACCAAGGAAAUGAUUUGCUCAGGAUGAGGAAUGAAGAUGGCCAUCUUGUGCUCAAACAAACAGAAGUCCUCUGGUAUGUGUGUGUUGAAGCAAUGAUGUGUUAUACAACAUUUUAUGAUGAUCUCUCACAGAAUUGGUCAUGUCAGCCUUGAUUUCGUUUUAUACUAUUACAAUUACAGCAUGUUAGCAAAGUGUGACUGGACAUUUUUAAUAUUAUGUUUUUAAAAACACACCACCUGUUUUAAAAGUAGACAAGUAUCACGAAAUUGGUUUAGUUGAUAUAAACACCAAUUGACAUUAUUUCAUUGUUUUGUAAAUGUUAUGUUAUAAAUUGUGAAUUGAUAGUGGAUUGGUUUGAAGCCAGGCCUUACACUGCACCGACUAAAACACAUUUGUGAGAGAAGUCAGGAACUUUGGAGAAAGAUUCUAGAGGAAAAAAAAACACAUUUACUGCAACAAUAGAUGAAUUCUAGAGUCUCUGAGAACUACACAUGCUAAUGCAGUCUAAUGAUCAAGAUCUUUGCCUCUGUAACUUUUUCUUAAUUCUUGCAGAAUGACAUUAUUAUUGCAGUAUUUUUAUUGGUACAGAUGAUCUCUUCAGCCAAACGAGGGGUUUUGACCAAGUGAUGCUCUUGAAAGGAGUGAAAGAAGAGGAUGUGGUAAAUUGUCUUCAGAGAAAAAGCUUCUCAAAAGGUCUUAAAACAGCUUGAAGAAUGGUAAGUGUACAGUACUACAAGGGUCAUAGUUGGUCACCCUGCUAAAAUCACACAGAACAUAAGCUGCGCUCUCUGUCCAUUAAACAACUUGAUCUGGAUUGUGUGUUUCACUUCAGGUCUGGGAUGUUAGGACUGAGAGAUCCUCUGGCUGAGGACAAGCUACACCACAUCAGUGCUGGACAUCAACCACAAACUGUUUCCAGACACGAGAGAAGAAGAUCACGAUGGGGAGAUGAAACCAGUUUAGAUGUGAUGAUGGGAAUCAUUAUUUUCUGGAACAGUAUCACAUGUCUUAUAUGUAUCACAUGAUCUGUAUCACAGUUGACUGGAUGGGACUGUGUGACUUUUAAGGACAUUUCAUCACUCAUCUGUGUGAACUGAUUUAUAUAUGAGGUUAAUGUAUCUUUGAUGAUAAUUAUUUUCAUUGAAUCUUAUUUGUCUUGAUGCUACUUUAUCAACUUUAUAGUCUAUGCUUCAAUAAAAUGAAAAUGGUGAAUAUUGUGUUCUGAAGAUUCUUGGUAAAUACAUCAUUUUACUAGGUAGGCUCAUAUGUGUUUAUUUUAGACUUGGAAAAACGACAUAUUAAUUAUUGGGAUUAUUUUUUUAUUUAAGACAUAAACAUUUUUGAUCAGAUUAAUAACAUCUGGGACAUCAGUACACCAGAAAGUAUUUUUUUAUAUUUUAGUAACAAAUAUGCACAUUUUUUGUGAAAUACAGGGAGUUACAAGAUUAAUUAUUCUGCAUUACAAGAUGGUGCCAUGGGCUUUAUUGUUACAAGCACUUGACGGAUAACUGAGAAUGUAGCAGGAAUGAUCAACGUGGAUCUUGUACUGCAUUAAAACCAAGAGCACGCACAUUACUGAUGUCCAGCACCUGAGGAGCAAGAUACGGG